rnacentral:tRNA from 1 species
CAAAAAAUAGUUUUAUAAAAAUAUAAGUUUUGGAAAUUUAUGAUACUAAUUUUAGUUUUUUUGA